rnacentral:lncRNA from 1 species
UUUCGCUCUCUCUCCUCUUUUAUUCCCGCUUAUUAUCUGGCUGCUGCCAGAGGCUCUGGGCUGAGGCCGGCACUGGCACCCACUCCACCCUAUCCCUCCUCCUCUUUGCCUCUGUCCCUUUUACUCUCCCUCACAGUACCUUCGUCAUCUCCUCCCAAGAGGGACAAAGCUUGUCCCUCAUCCUCCAGGCCCCCUCUGAGGGAAAUGGGUCCCAGCAGAGGUCUGUGCUGGGAGGGGGUGGCCUUGGGCACCCAAGAUGGGGGCAGGUCCUCAGGACCCCGCAUCUCACCUUGGCUCCAAUGCAGCCUCACAGAAGCCUCCGGUGUAUCCCUCCCUCCUCCGUGCCUCAGUUUGCCUCUAUCUGUGCCAUGAAGAGGUCGGUACAAAAGGAUCAAUUUUUAAAUGGCCACAGGGUGCUCCAUUGUACUGCAGGACCACCAGCCCCACACGGAGGGACAUCUGGGCUAUCUUCAGUUUGGAGCUGUAUCUGUUUUCUGGCAGAAUAAAUAAUGGUUACCUGACAACCCAA